GACGAACGCUGGCGGCGUGCUUAACACAUGCAAGUCGAACGGAAAGGCCCUGCUUUUGUGGGGUGCUCGAGUGGCGAACGGGUGAGUAACACGUGAGUAACCUGCCCUUGACUUUGGGAUAACUUCAGGAAACUGGGGCUAAUACCGGAUAGGAGCUCCUGCUGCAUGGUGGGGGUUGGAAAGUUUCGGCGGUUGGGGAUGGACUCGCGGCUUAUCAGCUGGUUGGUGGGGGAGUGGCUUACCAAGGCGAUGACGGGUAGCCGGCCUGAGAGGGUGAUCGGUCACCCUGGCACUGAGCCACGCUCCAGACGCCUACGGGAGGCAGCCGUGGGGAAUAUUGGACACUGGGGGCAAGUCUGAUCCAGCCAUGCCGCGUUUGUUACGACGUUCUUCGGUUUGUAAUGCCUUUUAAGUUGGGAGGAAGGGCAGUCAGUUGCUACCUUGCUGGUUUGACGUUACCGACAGAAUAAGCACCGGCUAACUUCGUG
rnacentral:rRNA from 1 species